UUAGGGAGACCUACCUAACUCAAAACGACAAAAGCAAAACAUAUAGUCGAUUGAGUUGGUCAUCCCAAGGUCGUGCGAAGAUAGCAUUGCAGGCUUUCAAACUAUAAGUGGUUCGGAAUCAUUCGUUCGCACAAUCUGGACUUAAAAGUUCGGGGAAGCCCACUCAAAAACAAAAUUGUGUUGUUAGAGUAGGAAUGUGCGCUCCAAAGCACUGCCUUAAAGCAAUUAACUUAAACCUUUAAAUUAAUCCGAUAAACUCUUUCAGCAUCAGGCAUUAGCGCCUGAAUGCUGGAUAGCGUGUCCAGUCAGAACCUUGAAAACUGCAUAGUAACGCGUAAAAACAAGCGAAUUGAGAAUGUGAUCGCUCACAAAUUCAGUUUGCGAUGUAAGACACUAAUGUAAAAAAGU
rnacentral:misc_RNA from 1 species